UUUCUACUCGCUCCGUCCGAAAAUACUUGUCAUCAAAAUGGAUAAAAAUAGAUGUAUCUAAAACUAAAAUACGUCUAGAUACAUUUCCUUUUAUCCGUUUUGAUGACAAGUAUUUCUGGACGAAGGGAGUAUUUG
rnacentral:pre_miRNA from 1 species